rnacentral:RNase_P_RNA from 1 species
GAAGUGCCUCAGAUGAUCGCUCAGUCAGGCCGUUGAUUUUUUUGUUGGCCGGCUGGGAGGAAAGUCCGAACUGGACAGGGCGCGGUGGUGGAUAACGUCCACCGGGGGCGACCCCAGGGAAAGUGCCACAGAAAAUAUACCGCCUAAGCGGUGCCUCUGAAAAGAGGCGCCGCCGGUAAGGGUGAAAUGGUGAGGUAAGAGCUUCACCGCGAUUCCGGUGACGGAGUCGGCAGGGUAAACCCCACCGCCAGCAAGGCCAAAUAAGGGGCGAAUCGACUUUUUGAGUCGAUGCGAGUCGGCCCGGCUCGCCAAGCUCCGGGUAGGCCGCUAGAGCCUGACGGUAACGUCAGGCGCAGAUAAAUGAUCAUCUGUUACACAUUCGUGUAAUAAAACGCUACAUUUUACGAAAGAUUAGUUUCAUGUUUGUGUAAUUUCAUCGGUGAAGUUACGCAUUUGUGUAACUAAAGUUUCACGUUUGUGUAGCAUAAUUACACGUUUGUGUAAUAACAGAAUUCGGCUUAUGAGGCGCUUCGCCU